CAGGUUUACCUGUGUGACUGCGUACCUUUUGUAUAAUGGGUCAGCGACUUAUAUUCUGUAGCAAGGUUAACCGAAUAGGGGAGCCGGAGGGAAACCGAGUCUUAAUUGGGCGUUAAGUUGCAGGGUAUAGACCCGAAACCCGGUGAUCUAGCCAUGGGCAGGUUGAAGGUUGGGUAACACUAACUGGAGGACCGAACCGACUAAUGUUGAAAAAUUAGCGGAUGACCUGUGGCUGGGGGUGAAAGGCCAAUCAAACCGGGAGAUAGCUGGUUCUCCCCGAAAGCUAUUUAGGUAGCGCCUCGUGAAUUCAUCUCCGGGGGUAGAGCACUGUUUCGGCUAGGGGGCCAUCCCGGCUUACCAACCCGAUGCAAACUGCGAAUACCGGAGAAUGUUAUCACGGGAGACACACGGCGGGUGCUAACGUCCGUCGUGAAGAGGGAAACAACCCAGACCGCCAGCUAAGGUCCCAAAGUCAUGGUUAAGUGGGAAACGAUGUGGGAAGGCCCAGACAGCCAGGAUGUUGGCUUAGAAGCAGCCAUCAUUUAAAGAAAGCGUAAUAGCUCACUGGUCGAGUCGGCCUGCGCGGAAGAUGUAACGGGGCUAAACCAUGCACCGAAGCUGCGGCAGCGAACGUAUCACUUAAAGCGAUUCAGCGGGUUACGAUUGACGGAGCGAAGCGACGUCAAAGCGUAUACAAAGUCGAGUCGGUUUAAGGAUACGUUCGUUGGGUAGGGGAGCGUUCUGUAAGCCUGUGAAGGUGUGUCGUGAGGCAUGCUGGAGGUAUCAGAAGUGCGAAUGCUGA
rnacentral:rRNA from 1 species